UUGUGGAAUGUUGGGAUGAGUCCCACAACGAGCGAAACCCUUAUCCUUGUUUGCCAGCGAGUAAUGUCGGGAACUCCAGGGAGACUGCCGGUGAUAGACCGGAGGAACGUGGGGCCGACGUCAACUCAUCAUGGCCCUUACGAGUAGGGCUACACACGUGCUACAAUGGCGCAUACAGAGGGCAGCCAACUUGCGAAAGUGAGUGAAUCCCAAAAAGUGCGUCGUAGCCCGGAUGGGAGUUUGCAACUCGACUCCAUGAAGUCGGAAUCGCUAGUAAUCGAGGCUCAGAAUGACACGGUGAAUACGUUCCCGGGCCUUGUACACACCGCCCGUCACACCACGGGAGUGGGAUGCAAAAGAAGAAGGCAGUUUCACGUUCGGGGGGAAGCUACAC
rnacentral:rRNA from 1 species